UUCACUCAAAUUCAAAAUUCCCUUCUCUCUCUCUCUCUCUCUCUCAAACACCAACGGUCGAAUUCCACCUUUCUCUCAAACACCAACGGUCGAAUACCACCGUUCUUUCUCUCUUACGAACACGAACACCACCACCACCACCACCACCACUCUCUCUCAACACCACCACCACCACCACCACCGCCACUCUCUCUCACAAACACCAACACCAUUCUCUCUGUCUCUGUCUCCACCACCAUGGGUAUUAAGGGCCCAAUGCCUCCUAACACCUUAAGGGUGUCGAACAUCGGUGAGGAUGUCUCCGAAGAAGACCUACACCGACUGUUCUCAAAUUUUGGGCGGUUGGAAUGCAUCGAAUUCGAAACGUCUACUUGCGCCUUGGUGAAAUUCAUUAACUUUUACCACGCAAGGGAGGCAUUAGAAAAUCUGCAGGACACCAAAAUGGAGGGAAGGGAAUUGACUAUUGUAUGGAACGAAGUUCAAACGCCGUCCAUUAGUUCUAAGGUUUGGAUUAGAAUUGAUGGACCUUUCCUUGAUGACCAGGAAUUGAAUGACCUGUUUUCUGUCUAUGGAUUUGUCCGCCAAUGCGAGUUUUCUGGACGUAGUGGCAAGAGGAGAGGUGCUGUAUCAUUUGAGCUAGAUAGCGCGGCUGAUUCUGCUGUGCAUGAUCUGAAUGGUACAACAAUAUAUGGCAGAAAAUUCUAUGUCGCUAAAUUUGUGAGAAAUAUGGGGGAUGUUGUGGCGGCCUUAGAUCAUACAGCAGCUCAAGAGCCAAUUAAAUUUGCGUCCAUCUACAAGUUUGAAGGCAUGGAACUUGAAUUCGUUGCUGGCAUUGAAAUGGACUCUAUCAGGACUGUAGCUGAUUUCCUUCUAGUGCUGCAUGACUUGUGGGGCUCACCAUUAGCAGUGGGGUUAAGCCUAAAUUGUCCUUGGCCCGGUUAUCAUGCGAGGUACUAUCAUGCAAAUAGCAGGACUUACGAGCCAGUCCUUGUGGAAGAGGAAGGUUUCUUAUCCAAUGUUGAGGGCUUGAAAGGGGUGCAACAUGUAGUUCUCUUAUCUCAGUUGUCUGCUUAUAGAGGUUCUGGUGGCAUUCAAGCUCUCAUGAAAAGCAAUGCAAGAAAAUUAGCUGAGCAAGAUGAAUCGUUGUUGAUGGCCUCAGGAAUCCCUUACACUAUCAUCAGGGCUGGAUUGUUACAAAGCACUCCAGGUGGACAACAAGGUUUUAGCUUUGAGGAGGGUAGUGCUGCGAGAGGAAAUCUUAGCAAGGAGGAUGCUGCCUUUAUUUGUGUGCAAGCACUUGAUGCAGUCCCACAAAGAGGAUUUAUAUUUGAGAUGAAUCAAUCCUGCCUGGCAUGUUUCAUGCAUUGGACCAGCCGUUGAGUUCUAGGUUCCUGUCUAACAUAUGGUCAUAUACACUUCUUUGAAGGUAAAACAACAAAGACGGAGUCAUAGCUAUGAGAAGUCAUCGACAAAUUGGUGGUCAAUGGAGAUGAAAAGAUUUCAGAUUGGCAAGAGUGUAUGGCUAGAUUGAUGGAGAAAGCUGGGCAACAGCUUCAAUAAUAACACCCAAACCAUGCUAAAAAAUGUGCCAAUCAUUUGAUGUUUAUUUGUUUUUCUUUGUUCUUGGCAGUGUUCUCAUGAAAUGUUUUGCCAGAGAAAAGGGCAUUACAAGUGAGUUUGUUUUACACAUGAACUGCAUAACCAUUAACCAGUAAUGAUUCAGAGAACAUAAGUGUUAGUGCGAAAUUUCUGAUAUGCAGAAAUUUGAUGCUCUCUCAUGCAGAAAUUUCAGCACUGCCUCCUUAAUCUAUUCCAAUAUAAUAUCUCAAUCUGAUGCUCUCUCAUGGGACAAUAGCACUUAAAAUUCAAGUUCUCCCUUCUUUUCUAUACCCUCUGUGAAAUAUAUGCAAGAUGACACCUUGAUACCAACAAUUUAAGUCUAGCAUGGGUAGUCAAUCUAUUUCUCGGAGCCAACCAACAGGUGAAUGCAUGCCUUGGGGUAGUAGAAAUAUGCCUGACCAUCAUCCACCAAUUAACAAAUUGCGGCCUUGAUCUGAUAGCUUCCCAGGUUUCUGCGCAAUUGAAGAUACUAGAGUUUGCAACAAUCCAGUCCAUUCUAAAGAAUCCCUCUCUUCCAGGUUUACCUGAAGCACUUUAACUUGAAUCAGCUCCAAUGCCCCCUCAUAUAACACUAGAAUCUCUAGCAUUAAUGCUGCUCCCACCAUCACAUACAAUCCCUCCAUCAGGGUCAGAGUUGUCCAGCCAAAGAAACAUCAGGAUGCCAAAUAUUAAACAAGUUUGGUCGAUUCAUUCUCUGAAACAGAUUCUUAGCUAGGAGGGAUGAUAUCAACCGUCUGACAAAGAUGGGAUGUCGUCACCCACAAUUCCACCCCCCCCCCCCUUUUUUUUCUCCCCAACCACAAUAAAAUCCCACUUUUUAAAAGAACACAUAAAGAGGUAAAAUGUGAUUAGGAUAAGUUGGACAGUAACUGUGGUCUGAUGUCAUUAUAGGCAUGACCAAUUAUUGGGAGCAAAUAUAUACAAUAUUUUGCAAUCAUGAAAAUAAGAUUGUCAUUGAACAUCUCAUUCUUUGGGGAGCAGAGCAAUAUGGGGUUGGGAUGAUUCACACAUCUUUAUUGGUAAUAUGAAAAGAGGAGUUGAUGUUACCUCCCUAACUCUAGAGAAAACAAUAUUCACUCUACAAAGCCCCCACACAUGUCAGCUGUUCCAUGCAGAUUUGAUGCACACCCUUCAACUGUUGGCAUGCUUGCAGGAGCCACUUGUUUGGGCAGGUUUAUAUGUCAACAUUGGGCUAGCAACCUUAGUUUCUUUCUGUGAAACAUGACUGCUGUUGCAUCUUGAAUUUUUUUUUAUUUUUUUAUUUUUUUAUUUUGGAGUAAAAUUGACAGAGUUUGUGCAGUUUGAUGUCUUGCAAAAUGACAAGAAACUGCUUUUGUUAGGCAGAGUGACUAGAAAUCCAGGCCAUUGAUCGAAUGAAGGUUUUGUAUAGAUUAUGCGCAUUUUCAUUGUGGAAUAAGAAUGAGUAGUUUGGUACAAGAAGCAAAGGAAGUUUGGAAUCUCAUGUAGUAGAUCGGUAUCCUUUUUGACUAAUAUUUUGUUCCAAUUAGGCAAUUACUGGCAUUCUCUUUGAGUCUUGAAUAUUCUUCAUUUUAAUAUUCUUUUGA